rnacentral:rRNA from 1 species
CGUCUAUAUACGUAUAGCAUAUCAAUAAGCGGAGGAAAAGAAACUAACUAGGAUUCCCUCAGUAACGGCGAGUGAAGCGGGAAGAGCUCAAAUUUGAAAUCUUCAAGGUUCUACCUUGACGAAUUGUAGUUUAAAGAAGUGUUUUCUGUUGGAGUUUUGGUAAAAGUUCUUUGGAAUAGGACAUCAUAGAGGGUGAGAAUCCCGUAUUUGACCAUUAUUUCCAACUUUGUGAUACACUUUCAAAGAGUCGGAUUGUUUGGGAAUGCAGUCCAAAAUGGGUGGUAAAUUUCAUCUAAAGCUAAAUACUGGCGAGAGACCGAUAGCGAACAAGUACCGUGAGGGAAAGAUGAAAAGAACUUUGAAAAGAGAGUUAAACAGUACGUGAAAUUGUCAAAAGGGAAGCGUUUGACACCAGUGUUGUUUUCUCGAAAAUCAAUUAAAAAUGGCGGGAUUUUGUGUUGUAUUGACUUUAUCAGCUUUCUGCACUUUUUUCCUAUCUUUUUUAAUGCACUUUUCGUUUAACAAGUCAACAUCAAUUUCUUUUGUUGUAAAAGAGUCAUUGGAAGGUGGCUUUCUUUUCGGAGAAAGUGUUUAUAGCCUUUGACUUCUGCAGUCGGAGAGAUUGAGGUCUGCAGCGUAGAUCCUUCGGGGUUAGAUACAUUUGUGCUAAGUUAUAGCCUUUCAUAGACAACUUGUUGACUAUGAUCAGUCAUGUAGCUUACUCGCUUAUGUUAUUUUACCUACGCUUAGGAUGUUGACGAUCAGCGAGCGCG